AGCACAAUCAGUUGAUUUUUUAGAGAACAAUGCAUCUGGGAUUAUAAUGGCUGAACUAGCAGUAUCACAAUAGUCAAGUCAUACAAGCUUCAUUACUCUACUAUACAAACUAAUUCUACUCGUUAAGUCUAGAUCAAAAAUCAAAACUUAAACCCUAGUUAUUGGGGCUAAAUUGACAUAUAACAACAAAAGACCAUCCCUACUAACGGAUCUAAAUAAG
rnacentral:misc_RNA from 1 species